rnacentral:lncRNA from 1 species
AAUUUUGGCUAUAUUUGGGACAGUAAAUUCAGCACAAAGAUAUCAUUCUACUGUAAAACAUGUUUUAACUAUCAGUCAAUUACUGCCUUAAGUAUGAAUGUUCUGUGAGCUAUACCUUCCAUCUUUUGUUCUGAUUAAAUGCCGGUACCCAUUCACUCAACUUCAAAAUUUACAUAUUAAAAUAAAGUUCAAACAGCAUUAUCCACAGGGAAAAAAAAAAAGACUGAAAGGAAACAGCCUAUAUUACCCUGAUUGGCUGAAGGUGGUUUCUUUAUUUUCAUUACUAUCAUCUCAUUUCAUGUCUUAAAAUUAAAACAAUAAUAUCCACAAUUGUAAACACAUGCCAUAUCCUUGCAGUGGCAAAGGAACUCUCCAGAAAGUAAUUAUGUGGAUGCUUAAUCUGUGUUUGAUUUAGAAAAGCAGGCAACUUAAUUUUCAUGCCAAACUAUACAUUAAGCGCUUAAAGACAGAAAAUCUCACUUGUGAACACAGCUUGUCAUUAUGAUCAGAGCUCUAAAUGAAAAAUCUCAAGUAAUGAAUUCUGUGGUUGAUUUCAUAUUUUGAGGGUGUUGCCUAGAAUUUUUUUCUUUUUUUUCCAUUUGAAGAAAAAUUCUUGGUCUUUAUGGAGGCAGAAUGACUCUGGAGAAGAAGCAUCAAUCUGAUUCGAUAAAUGUGUGUGUAUUGCUUGAUUCCAGGCAAGGGAGCAAGUGCAAAGAUCUCCCCCUCUUUUUGGAAGAGUGAUAAGGUGACUACUUCAGCCGAGAUUUUCAUUUCUGAUUAUGGUUCACUUUAUUAAUAACAAAGAGACUCAAAAAUUCUAUUAAAAUUUAAUGUUGACAAUCACAACUCUAUAAUGCAAUUGCACUGAGGUCGGUGGGAAAAUAUUCUAUUAGUUGGGCUGAAGAAAUCAAUCAUCCACGGUGCAUAUGAAGCAAAUGGCACAGACCCUGCUUAACAUCCGCUUCCAUAACAGCUCCGGGACAGGUCUUCAAGCUAAUGAAAAAUAACUUUCCUUUCCAAUAAUUUUCACUUUCGGCUUGGAACAAUUACAUGUUCAAAUAAUAGCCCAAACAGCCAUUUUAGCCAUUCUUCUUUCAGGUUUUCCACCUGCUCCCAUUAAAAAGAACGUUAACUGGGAACAAACUAGACACUGGGGUAAUUUCAAAUGCAUCUGUGCAUUAGGGAUUUUCAAGGAGCAAAAGUAAACGUUAUAUUAUCCACCACUUAAAGCAAUGCUGCUUUAAACAGUGGGAGAAAUAUUCCCCAUGUACAUGGCUCAUUUUGUUCUUUUAAGAGCAAGGAAGUUUCUGUUUGCCUCUAAGCAAAACUCAUUUAUUUUAUUUUAUUUAUUUUUUUUUUUGAGAAGAGGAAGUACUUACUGUUUUUUACUGAUGUUCACAAAUAAAUUGCCUCAUAGAAUAAAUGACACAUGAUGGUUGUGGGGCCCCCAACCAGGUGGAUACGUCCUCUUCUUGUCCCAAAGAGACAUACAUCUUUGACACAAAACCACACUCUUCCCCAAUCUUCCCCUCAUUCUCCAUGUCCACUUGCCCAAAAUCUCACAAGAAAUGAUGACUUUUUCCAUACAACGAGGCCCCAGCUGACUUCUCUAGGGCUUUGAUAGCCUCUCAUUUGGUCCCUCCAGCCACCAUGGUGUGCUUUUAAUGCCAAGCUUGUUCCUUCUUAGUGCCCAUCCACUUGCUCUUUCCUGUAUUGGGUGGCCCUUCUUUCUGGAGGCUGUUCCAUGACUGCCUGCUCCUAGUCAUUCAGGCUCCUCCAUAACAUGACACCCUAUUUAAAUGGACACACUUCCUCCACUGCAUCACCCAUUUUAUCGUCUUCAUGGGACCUUACACGACCGGCAGUUCUCACUAGAGGCAAAGCUUUGAGGACAUUAAAAACCCUGAGAUUCCCUAGGACAAACUACUGUGUCCUAGUACGCAGCAGGAGUUCAAUGCAUUUUUUUUUUUUUUUUGGAAUGGAUAAAUAACUGGAGAGCCCCUUUUGCUCCAAUGACUAUAAGAGUCUCUCUCCCUCUUCCCCCCCUCCCAAAUUCCAUUCUCCACAGAGAAACAAGUAUGACUUUUCUAAAACGAGCAUCAGAUGUCACUUUCCUGCUUUUCAAAUAUUCUAAUGGAUUCUCUUUGUAAUAAAAAACCUUAUCAUUGUCCUCAAAGUCUGAGAAAAUCUGAUUCCUGCUUCAUCCUCAUCUCACUCGCAUCAUUUUCUCCCAUCCCUCCCAGCCAUAACAUGCUCAGCCCCUUUGAGGGCUUUUCUAUUUUUCAUUCCUUCUGCCUCAAAAGCCAUUCUCCCAGUCUUGGCUAGGAUGCUUGCUUCCCAUGAUGGUCCCAUUAGGGCUCAAUUCAAAUAGCACCUCCCCAGAAAGCCUUCCUCGACCACCUCAACUAAACUGGAAUCAAAUAAACAACUAGGACAUGGUUUUUCUUUGAACCCAUAUGUUUAUGAAAGAACAGGACAAAUAACUUUGACCAGGAUGGAUAAGAAAUAACUUCCAUUCAUUUUCAGGAUGGUUAAAACUCAGCUUAAAUGUCAUUACAUUGUUGAUGCUAUUUACAUGUUAGUCUUUCUGGAAUGUUAUCUUCCAGCUCUAUAAUUAUAAAUAUUUUCUCCACAAAAGUAAUUUUGGGGAAAAGUGGUAUUCCUCUAAUUGCCUGUGUGUUGGGAAGGUUAUUAUCAGGCAUUAUUCAAUGAGUCUAAUCUCUUUGCCUUUAAUUAAUGAGUUUAUUCUCUUUGCCUUUAAUUAAUCAGUUAAUAUUUUUUCUUAUAACCUGGCUACAGUUCUCUUUCCCAAUAAUACACACAGAAGAGCAGAGGUGCUUCAUAGUUUCAAUGUUGCCUGAAAUUUUUAUUUAUUCUUACUGUGAUUUUGAAUGUUUAACAUAAAACUUGGUGUCAUCUGUAAACACAGAUCCUAGUAUUUUAACAAGUAAGGCACAUACACACAAUGAAAGGAACAUCUUCAUCAAAGCAGGGUGGCUGUCAUAAAGGAACAAUUCCCUACCAGGAGGCAGGUAGCCUCACAGAACUAUUGCUAAUGGGAAGUUAACUAUAUCAAAGGCUUGGAUUCAAUCCUUACAGAGAAGAUGUCACACUGUAUUUGAAAGGCAAAUGUAAAAAUGCAAGUUCUCAUUAGUUUUCAUGUAAAUUCCCACUUCAAUAAAUAUUUCAAGCACAUACCUCCACAAUGGCACAGUGGAUAAGGGAAUAGGUUUCAAAAUGGCAGCCCAAAUAAGGAGGCACAGAUACACACAUACAACCUUUUCAUGUUAUUCAGCAUUAGCAUAGAUUUUUAACUGCAGUAGAUGUUCUUGAUAUAGGAAGAUGCUAACAUUUUGCAAAGACCUUUAUAAGUGAAACUGAGCCACAAAAAGCUCAAAAACCUACAUGCAAAGGCAUUAGAAUGGAACCUAUUCUUUUUAAUUUGUGACCUACCUCCCAAAUAAUUACACAGAGAAUACAUAUGCAUAUUCGUCUUCUAACCUCAUUAUUACUCAGAUUUUAACCUAUACGUAAAAAACAGGGUCAAAUAUUUCUCCACAGACAUCUACCAGUAUUAUCCUAUGAGUAGAUUUACUAAAAUAUAUACAGCUUUUCAUCUUUUAAUUUUUAAAUAGUUUUGCUCUACUGUGCUGCUAAUUAAAAUAAAUAAAUAAAUAAAUAAAUUUGGACACCCUCUGAUAAUGAGGCAUAUUUUUGAAGAGUUUUAUUUCUAAGCACCAUAAAAUUAUGUUUUGUGAAUAAAAUAUGUUUUUAUAAUGUAUAAAAGCUAAGCAAAAUGCUAUAAAUCAGCAGGUAAAAAGGAAUAGUUGAGUAAGAAACAAAUAGCCAGCAGAGAAACUGGUCACGCCUGAGAAGCUUCGGAACGACCAGAAUAUUUUUGCCCAAAAAUCCAGCAUAUAAUAAGAGUAUAGAGGAUUUACAUACACAUACAUAUAUAUAUAGAGAGAGAGAGACAGGAGAGGGAGAGAGGUUUAAUUUAAAUCCAUCUCAGUUCCAAUCUGUCCUUGCAAGCAUUACUUCUUAAUUAGUUACAUAUUUAGCAACAUUGUCCAAGAAGAAGAGUUUUACAAAAAUGAUCCAGUCACAGCUUGGUCAUGCUUUCUUUCUUGAAUUUUGUUUAAAUUUUCAAUUACUCUUUACAAUUUUUCAAGGAGUACUGAGAUUCUGCCCCAAUCCUGCCUCCCUCCCCCAUUCAACAUAUUUCAAGAAGGAAAUAAUUCAGCAAUGGAAAACCCAAAUGGAACAGUCACUCACUGACAAAUAUAUUCUAGAACAAGAGCAUUGGUUCUUAUCAGGAUGCUUUCUGGGUAUGAAAGCUCAGGAAAGAAUCAAAACUAGUGAUGAGAAGCUGAUUCAGUAUCACAUUGUGCUCAAGAGAGGAGCUACAGAAUUUAGUUAGUGAAAGAAAGACACCAGAAAUAAAUGAGGAGGCCUGUACUUUCCAUGUGCAUUCAUUAAAAUCCCUUCUUUAUGAGUAACUUGCCUUUACCCCAAGGCUAUGUAAAAACAACAACAACAAACAAACUAUGAACUCAACUGAAAGUGAGACAAGCCUUUGUGAAUGCCAUACACAGUCAAUAAAAAUAAACAUUUUCUCCUGCCACUGUUUUUCACUUUUCAUUGUAAAAUUCAAACCAGCAUUUACGCAGCAACUUCUGAAACAUAUGUUAUUUAAAUAAGACAGACGCGACAAAAACAGAGCAAUGGAACUUGGAAACUUGACAUUAUUGCUUCUCACUAAGGUUAGAAUCCCACUGGUUGGAUUUUUCUAACAAAGGUGAGGUCACAUAUUUCCAGGUCAAGUGAUUCAAUGAUCGAGGAAGAGAGAAAAAAGCACUAGACGCAAAGGCAGAAGACCCGGGUUCUCUAUCAGUGUCUGCAGGAUAUCAGCUGCCUGGCCUUUGGGCAGUUCUUUAAUCCCUUGGAGUCUCAGUCUUCACUCUAUAAUUAUAGGACACUGCCCUGUGCUCCUUGUCAGGUUAUUGUCAGAAUCAAGCAAGAUAAUGUAUGAAAAUCCUAUGCAAACUCUAAAAUGCUAGGCAACAUGUUUCUAAGCUAAAGCUCCAUUACCUCUGAAACAUUUGUCAUAAUAGGAUAACGUCACUCACAAAUUGUUGAAAAAUUAAGUCCGAUCGCAUAUUGUGUUUUGGCCACUAUAUACAAAAAUCUUUGGUCACACCAGCAGGGAAAUACUACCCAAUCGUUUAGAAGGCGGUGCUCAAUAACACUGAUUUUUUAAGCCAAGGUAUUCCUGAAAAUUGUCUACCAGACUAGCAUAAGCCAAAUGACAAGAUUCGUGUAUGAGUCUGAGGCAAUCUACUCAAUUGCUUGACAGUUUCCCAAGACCUUAAAUUAUUAGGUUCAACCACAGAAAGCUGCUGUUCUGUAAGUCAAAAAAUCAUAUAAUACCAUUAAUUUCAUGUUGAUAAACUAAAUAUAUUAAGUGCUUAAGGCAGUCAUUUUGGACUCUUUGAACCCCCUCACCCUAAAGAGACAAUGAAUCUAGUGCUAAUAAUGUUUGUGUCAUAUUAGCAAUACAAAAAAAGAGAUGCAUACGCCAGCAGAAAAGCUGGAAAGGAUACGUGCAGAUAAGGAGUUCACAAAAAAGAAACACGAAAGACCUAAAAGAACAUUAACAUUUUCAUCUUCCUCAGUAUUCAAAGAAAUGUAAAUUUAAACAAGAAUCUUUCUUGUCACCUACUAAACUGACCCAAGCUAAAGGAAACUAUAAUAUUGUUUUUUAAAAAAAGGCAAACAGGCGCAAAAUGGAGUCCCUUAUGCUAAGCCCCACACCACCAAAGCUAGACUUAAUUACAGUUUUGGUUCUCCCAGAAAUGGAAUCUUAAACCAGUCAUCAGGAAGUAUGUAAUAGGCACUAGUUAGGUCAUCUGUCUGAAAGAUCCCUGCCUUCCACUAAAGGAAAGUGACCUUGCCUU